UACGUAGGUGGCAAGCGUUAUCCGGAUUUAUUGGGCGUAAAGCGAGCGCAGGCGGUUUCUUAGGUCUGAUGUGAAAGCCUUCGGCUUAACCGAAGAAGUGCAUCGGAAACUGGGGAACUUGAGUGCAGAAGAGGACAGUGGAACUCCAUGUGUAGCGGUGAAAUGCGUAGAUAUAUGGAAGAACACCAGUGGCGAAGGCGGCUGUCUGGUCUGCAACUGACGCUGAGGCUCGAAAGCAUGGGUAGCGAACAGG
rnacentral:rRNA from 1 species